GAUGAACGCUAGCGGCAGGCUUAAUACAUGCAAGUCGAGGGGCAGCAGGUCUGUAGCAAUACAGAUGCUGGCGACCGGCAAACGGGUGCGGAACACGUACACAACCUCCCUUUAAGUGGGGAAUAGCCCAGGGAAACUUGGAUUAAUACCCCGUAAAUUAUGAAGUGGCAUCACUUUAUAAUUAAAGCUCAGGCGCUUAAUGAUGGGUGUGCGGCUGAUUAGGUAGUUGGCGGGGAACGGCCCACCAAGCCUGCGAUCAGUAACUGGUGUGAGAGCACGACCAGUCACACGGGCACUGAGACACGGGCCCGACUCCUACGGGAGGCAGCAGUAAGGAAUAUUGGUCAAU
rnacentral:rRNA from 1 species